UCAGACGAUGCGUCAUGCAUAUCAAUAAGCGGAGGAAAAGAAACUAACAAGGAUUCCCCUAGUAACGGCGAGUGAAGCGGGAAGAGCUCAAAUUUGAAAUCUUAAAGGGUUUCCCUUUACGAAUUGUAGUUUAAAGAAGUGUUUUCUGUUGAGGUUUUGGUAAAAGUUCUUUGGAAUAGGACAUCAUAGAGGGUGAGAAUCCCGUAUUUGACCUUUACUUUCAACUUUGUGAUACACUUUCAAAGAGUCGGAUUGUUUGGGAAUGCAGUCCAAAAUGGGUGGUAAAUUUCAUCUAAAGCUAAAUAUUGGCGAGAGACCGAUAGCGAACAAGUACCGUGAGGGAAAGAUGAAAAGAACUUUGAAAAGAGAGUUAAACAGUACGUGAAAUUGUCAAAAGGGAAGCGUCUGACACCAGUGUUGUUUUUCUGAAAAUCAAUUAAAGAACUGUUUAUGCUAAGCUGUUUAGACUUUAUCAGCUAUCUGUUUAGUUUUGAGCUUUUCUUUAAUGCACUUUUCAGUUAACAAGUCAACAUCAAUUUCUUUUGCUGUAAAAAAGCUUGAGGAAGGUGGCUUGAGAUUCGUCUUAAGUGUUUAUAGCCUCUUGCCUAUGCAGUCGGAGAGAUUGAGGUCUGCAGCGUAGAUCCUUCGGGGCUAAAUGCAUUUGUGCUAAGUUAUAGCAUUUUAUAGACAACUUGUUGACUAUGAUUUGUCUUGUAGCUUACUCGCUUAUGUUAUUUUACCUACGCUUAGGAUGUUGAGCGCAUGUCUCUCUCU
rnacentral:rRNA from 1 species